GUGCACCAGGCGCGAAUUUUUCACAAUGGGGGAAACCCUGAUGGAGCGACGCCGCGUGGAGGAUGAAGGCGUUUUCGUCAUAAACUCCUGUCAUGCGAGAACAAGAAAGUGAUAGUAUCGCAAGAGGAAGAGGCGGCUAACUCUGUGCCAGCAGCCGCGGUAAUACAGAGGCCUCAAGCGUUGUUCGGAUUCAUUGGGCGUAAAGGGUGCGUAGGUGGCAUGGUAAGUUGAAGGUGAAAUCUCGGAGCUCAACUCCGGAACUGCCUUCAAUACUGCUGUGCCCGAGGACUGUAGAGGAGAAUGGAAUUCACGGUGUAGCAGUGAAAUGCGUAGAUAUCGUGAGGAAGACCAGUGGCGAAGGCGAUUCUCUGGGCAGUUCCUGACACUGAGGCACGAAGGCUAGGGGAGCAAACGGGAUUAGAUACCCGUGUAGU
rnacentral:rRNA from 1 species